ensembl:lncRNA
GAACUGAGGGACACACAGCACACUGGCCGGCGCCUUUCCCACUCUGCACGGUUUACCGGCCCCUACUUCCUAACUACAAGCCCAGAACCUCCGUCCUAAGAAAAAAGAAGAGACUGAAGAGUUACCAUGAGCAUCUUUUUGUUCCUAUUUUCUUUACAGAAAAACACUGGUGAAGUGUCAUCAAAUUCGACUGCUCUUGCAUUAGUAAAUACGACUUCUACUUGCUCGUCUUGCAACAGUACUUAUAGUCCCUCAGUCAACAACCUUUCUCAGGAUAUCUUAAAUCAUUUUCCACACUCGAUGACCUUACAAAAGUGAAUAUUGGUAAACCUCAGGGUCAUGCAACACCAGCUGACUGAAUUGGAACAACUUUUAAUCCUCAAGGGCUUAAACAGUGCAUUAGUUAAUGAGAAAUCCACUAAAAAGAUGACAAGGGACAAUAAAAGUACAGGGAUACCAGUGUUGGUUCAGCAUUGGAAGAUCCACCCUCAAAAGUCAUCAUUUAAACAGAGGAAAGGAAAAAGCCAUAUGAUCCUGUCACUAGUUGGAGAAAAAGUAUUGGACCAAAUUCUAUAGCUGUUCAUGGUAAAAGGUAUCAGGAGCCUAGAAGUAGAACAGAGCCUUCUCAACAGAUUAAAGACAUGUACUCCAUACUUCCAGCGAGAAUGCCUUACAUGAAUGGAGAAGAUACAAUGCUUUCUCCUUCAGAGGAGAAAACUGAAGCACAGUAAAUGCACUAAUCAUCUUCCUUGCUGCUGGAACACAAUAUCUGACACCCAAAACUUUAAAAAGGAGAGGUUUAUUUGGCUCACAGUCUCAGUCCAUGGUCAGCUAAUGGCAAAACAGAAAUGUCACAGCAGAAGAGUGUGUUGGAGCAAAUCUGCUCACUUUGUGGCAGCCAGGAAGCAGAGCACAGAGGAAAAGUGAGAGCCAUAGAGAGAGAUCUUCCCACCAAAGACAUAUCCUCAAUGAGCCAUCUUCCCAAAUUGGGCCCCACCUCUGAACAGCAUAUUCACCUGUUGAUUAUAUCAUGCCUAUGAUCCAGUCAGCACUCCAGGAG